rnacentral:rRNA from 1 species
AUUGAACGCUGGCGGCAUGCCUUACACAUGCAAGUCGAACGGCAGCACGGGUGCUUGCACCUGGUGGCGAGUGGCGAACGGGUGAGUAAUACAUCGGAACGUACCUUAUCGUGGGGGAUAACGCAGCGAAAGUUGCGCUAAUACCGCAUACGCCCUGAGGGGGAAAGCGGGGGACCGUAAGGCCUCGCGCGAUUAGAGCGGCCGAUGUCUGAUUAGCUUGUUGGUGAGGUAAAAGCUCACCAAGGCGAUGAUCAGUAGCUGGUCUGAGAGGACGAUCAGCCACACUGGGACUGAGACACGGCCCAGACUCCUACGGGAGGCAGUAGUGGGGAAUUUUGGACAAUGGGGGCAACCCUGAUCCAGCAAUGCCGCGUGAGUGAAGAAGGCCUUCGGGUUGUAAAGCUCUUUUGUCAGGGAAGAAACAGCAGCUCUAACACAGUCUGCGAACGACGGUACCUGAAGAAUAAGCACCGGCUAACUACGUGCCAGCAGCCGCAGUAA